rnacentral:rRNA from 1 species
CCUAAAGAGUAACGGAGGAGCACGAAGGUUGGCUAAUCCUGGUCGGACAUCAGGAGGAUAGUGCAAUGGCAUACGCCAGCUUGACUGCGAGCGUGACGGCGCGAGCAGGUGCGAAAGCAGGUCAUAGUGAUCCGGUGGUUCUGAAUGGAUGGGCCAUCGCUCAACGGAUAAUUGGUACUCCGGGGAUAUCAGGCUGAUACCGCCCAAGAGUUCAUAUCGACGGCGGUGUUUGGC